rnacentral:rRNA from 1 species
AAUAUUGCACAAUGGGCGCAAGCCUGAUGCAGCCAUGCCGCGUGUGUGAAGAAGGCCUUCGGGUUGUAAAGCACUUUCAGUCAGGAGGAAAGCGUGGUGGUUAAUACCCAUCAUGUGUGACGUUACUGACAGAAGAAGCACCGGCUAACUCCGUGCCAGCAGCCGCGGUAAUACGGAGGGUGCGAGCGUUAAUCGGAAUUACUGGGCGUAAAGCGUACGCAGGCGGUUUGUUAAGCGAGAUGUGAAAGCCCCGGGCUCAACCUGGGAACUGCAUUUCGAACUGGCAAACUAGAGUGUGAUAGAGGGUGGUAGAAUUUCAGGUGUAGCGGUGAAAUGCGUAGAGAUCUGAAGGAAUACCGAUGGCGAAGGCAGCCACCUGGGUCAACACUGACGCUCAUGUACGAAAGCGUGGGGAGCAAACGGGAUUAGAUACCCCGGUAGUCCACGCCGUAAACGAUGUCUACUAGAAGCUCGGAGCCUCGGUUCUGUUUUUCAAAGCUAACGCAUUAAGUAGACCGCCUGGGGAGUACGGCCGCAAGGUUAAAACUCAAAUGAAUUGACGGGGGCCCGCACAAGCGGUGGAGCAUGUGGUUUAAUUCGAUGCAACGCGAAGAACCUUACCUACACUUGACAUACAGAGAACUUACCAGAGAUGGUUUGGUGCCUUCGGGAACUCUGAUACAGGUGCUGCAUGGCUUGUCGUCAGCUCGUGUUGUGAGA